rnacentral:rRNA from 1 species
CAAGCGCAUUAACAGGUGUGACGCAGGAAGGUAGCCGGGCCGGGCAAUGGAAAUGACCUGGUCUAAGGGUGUAGGGCUGCCGGUAGGUAAAUCCGCCGGCUGUAUGCCUGAGACCUGAUGGGCGCCCACAUGGUGGGUGAUCCGGUGAUCCUAUGCUGCCUAGAAAAGCAUCGGCGCGAGGUUCAAACUGCCCGUACCCUAAACCGACACAGGUGGUCAGGUAGAGAAUACUAAGGCGAUCGAGAGAAUCAUGGUUAAGGAACUCGGCAAAAUGCCCCCGUAACUUCGGGAGAAGGGGGGCCCCAACCUUGAGCACCACGUGCUGGUGUGAGGGGAUCGGGGCCGCAGAGACCAGGGGGAAGCGACUGUUUAUCAAAAACAC